UACGUAGGGGCCGAGCGUUGUCCGGAGUUAUUGGGCGUAAAGCGCGCGCAGGCGGCUUCGCGCGCCCGCCGUGAAAGCCCCCGGCUUAACCGGGGAGAGUCGGUGGGGACGGCGGAGCUUGAGGGCGGGAGAGGUCGGUGGAAUUCCCGGUGUAGUGGUGAAAUGCGUAGAUAUCUGGAGGAACACCGGUGGCGAAGGCGGCAUCCUGGACCGGUAUUGACGCUGAGGCGCGAAAGCCAGGGGAGCAAACGGG
rnacentral:rRNA from 1 species